rnacentral:rRNA from 1 species
UGGGGAAUAUUGGACAAUGGGCGAAAGCCUGAUCCAGCCAUGCCGCGUGUGUGAAGAAGGUCUUCGGAUUGUAAAGCACUUUAAGUUGGGAGGAAGGGCAGUAAGCGAAUACCUUGCUGUUUUGACGUUACCGACAGAAUAAGCACCGGCUAACUCUGUGCCAGCAGCCGCGGUAAUACAGAGGGUGCAAGCGUUAAUCGGAAUUACUGGGCGUAACGCGCGCGUAGGUGGUUCGUUAAGUUGAAUGUGAAAGCCCCGGGCUCAACCUGGGAACUGCAUCCAAAGCUGGCGAGCUAGAGUAGGGCAGAGGGUGGUGGAAUUUCCUGUGUAGCGGAGAAAUGCGUAGAUAUAGGAAGGAACACCAGUGGCGAAGGCGACCACCUGGGCUCAUACUGACACUGAGGUGCGAAAGCGUGGGGAGCAAACAGG